rnacentral:siRNA from 1 species
AGCCAGAGUUGGAAUCCCCUAUCG